UGCAGCCAUGCCGCGUGUAUGAAGAAGGCCUUCGGGUUGUAAAGUACUUUCAGCGGGGAGGAAGGGAGUAAAGUUAAUACCUUUGCUCAUUGACGUUACCCGCAGAAGAAGCACCGGCUAACUCCGUGCCAGCAGCCGCGGUAAUAUGCUGCCUCCCGUAUGGGG
rnacentral:rRNA from 1 species